ACAUACUACCUUAUAAAUAUUAAGAUUCUGCUAUUAUCAGAGAAGAUUAGCAUGGCCCCUGCACAAGGAUGACACGCAAAUUCGUAAAACAUUCCAUAUUUUU